UUUUAACUCAAUACCCCCCACCCAAACGAAACCCUCCAUCUAUACUGAAUGACUUCAUACCCUAUGAAGGACCAUAUGCUAAAACUAGUAACAAGAAGAAGACCUUCUCCAAAAUGCAAGCGUAAGUCAUUAUGAACAACUCACUGACACUUAACGUUUUUGAAUCUAAAGUAGUAACUUAUCAAGAAAAUUCUACUAGACAUCACGUCAACCUUACACCAGAGCAUUACCGGAAAGAUUAAAAGAAGGGGAAGGAACUCGGCAAAUAUUAACCCCGCCUGUUUACCAAAAACAUCGCCUCCUGACUACUCUAUAGGAGGUCUAGCCUGCCCAGUGACUUAGUUAAACGGCCGCGGUACCCUAACCGUGCAAAGGUAGCGCAAUCACUUGUUCUUUAAAUGAGGACUAGUAUGAACGGCAUCACGAGGGUUACACUGUCUCCCCCCUCUAAUCAGUGAAACUGAUCUCCCCGUGAAGAAGCGGGGAUAAACAUAUAAGACGAGAAGACCCCAUGGAGCUUUAAACUCAGUAUCACCUGCCUUACUCUAUACCCAUUUAAUCACGCAGUUUUGAAUACUAGUUUUCGGUUGGGGUGACCGCGGAGUAAAACAAAACCUCCUCGAUGAACGGAACAAUACUCCUAAUCCAAGAGCUACAGCUCUAAGAAUCAAAAAAUUGACAAAAAUUGAUCCAAAUAUAUUUGAUCAACGAACCAAGUUACCCUGGGGAUAACAGCGCAAUCUACUUCAAGAGCUCCUAUCGACAAGUGGGUUUACGACCUCGAUGUUGGAUCAGGGUAUCCUAGUGGCGCAGCCGCUACUAAAGGUUC
rnacentral:rRNA from 1 species